GGUGUGACUUUCCAUGCUGGGCCGUACUCUCUGGACACUUUCCUUUCUGAGGGGCCAACUUCCCUUUGCACUCUGAAUUGCUACCUAUUCCUCUUCACUCAGCCUGGCCUGGGGAGGAGGUGUGCCCACUAGUCCGCAGCCUCCUUGAAAGCCUGGAUGCGGAUUAUGUUAAGAACCGCAUUGCAUUCCAGUGCUGGAGCCUGAGAACUGCUAAUGAUUUGUUCGUUCAGAGGAAGUUUAUAACCUCCAACAAGGAAAUUAAGAGAACAGUUGAGGAAAUCCACUGCAAAGCCUGCCUGCUGCCAGUGCUGCCGCCAUCCCGCAGGAGUGACAACUGAGCCCAGUCAAGGAUACCUCUCAGAUACUCCUCACAAUCAGGACACCCUAUGCUCGUCACCCUCCACCCUGAGCAAUAAAAAGCCAUUUCUGCA
ensembl:lncRNA